AUUGAACGCUGGCGGCAGGCUUAACACAUGCAAGUCGAACGAGUGGCGGACGGGUGAGUAAUGCUUGGGCAUCCAGCCUAUGGAGGGGGAUAACUCCGGGAAACUGUAGCUAAUACCGCGUACCAUAGGAUGAGCCCAAGUGGGAGUAGGUAGUUGGUGUGGUAAAGGCUCACCAAGCCGGCGAGCUCUAGCGGGUCUGAGAGGAUGACCAUCCACACAGGGGCAGAGGCACGGCCCAGACUCCUACGGUCGGGAGCAGCUGGGAAUAUAGCGCAAUGCGGGCAAUCUGGCGGAGCCAAGCCGCGUGAAUCAAGAAGGCCUUCGGGUUGUAACGUUCUUUAGGUAGCGAGGCGUUAACUACAGAAGAGACUCCGUCUAACUCAGUGCCAGCAGCCGCGGUAAUAC
rnacentral:rRNA from 1 species